AAAUUUUGUUUAUUAGAGAUGAUGAUGCUUGCUGUUGUUUUCACAACUUUAACUUCCAUCCAGAAUUUUCUCAAGAUUUUGUUUGGUCUGUUGUUAGUUAAUGUUGCAUAAUGAUGUUGUGUAGCUGCCAUAUGGUUUGCCAUGAUAGAAUAUCAAUGGAUGAUUACAUGAUGAUGAUUGUUGAAUGCUGUUGUUUCUAAAACCAUAGAACAGAAUUCUCCCCAGAUUUUUCCAUGAGUAUGCUUGUUCUAAUGUUGGUUAUUGUAUGCCCAAUGAUGUUGUUCCGUGCCAUGAUUAAUCUUUGAUGCUGUGAUUGUUGUUCAUGAACAUGAGUUUGAAGUUGCCAAGCCAUGCUUAAACCCUAGGGUUUAGAAAACUCAGAAAAUUUGAAUGUUAUUGGCCGGGUUACUGUUUGAUUGGCUGAGAGCCAAUCAAAACAUUUCGUUUU
rnacentral:lncRNA from 1 species